CCUGACGGACAUACCGCGUGAGGGAGGAAGGUUCUUGGAUUGUAAACCUCUUUUCUAGGGGAAGAAAAAAAUGACGGUACCCUAGGAAUAAGCAUCGGCUAACUCCGUGCCAGCAGCCGCGGUAAUACGGAGGAUGCAAGCGUUAUCCGGAAUUAUUGGGCGUAAAGCGUCCGUAGGUGGUAUUUCAAGUCUGCCGUCAAAGCAUGGAGCUUAACUCCAUAAAGGCGGUGGAAACUGAGAAACUAGAGUACAGUAGGGGUAGCAGGAAUUCCCAGUGUAGCGGUGAAAUGCGUAGAUAUUGGGAAGAACAUCGGUGGCGAAAGCGUGCCACUGGACUGAAACUGACACUGAGGGACGAAAGCUAGGGUAGCGAAAGGGAUUAGAUACCCCUGUAGUCCUAGCCGUAAACGAUGGAUACUAGGCGUAGCGCGUAUCGACCCGUGCUGUGCCGAAGCUAACGCGUUAAGUAUCCCGCCUGGGGAGUACGCACGCAAGUGUGAAACUCAAAG
rnacentral:rRNA from 1 species